AAAGGUUAAUGCAGUUAGCCGGUCCCCCUUUUGGUGGCCCUUGGUUUCGCACGGGAGGACGUUAGCGCUCCUC